GGAAGCAGCUUGCUGCUUNUGCUGACGAGUGGCGGACGGGUGAGUAAUGUCUGGGAAACUGCCUGAUGGAGGGGGAUAACUACUGGAAACGGUAGCUAAUACCGCAUAACGUCGCAAGACCAAAGAGGGGGACCUUCGGGCCUCUUGCCAUCGGAUGUGCCCAGAUGGGAUUAGCUAGUAGGUGGGGUAACGGCUCACCUAGGCGACGAUCCCUAGCUGGUCUGAGAGGAUGACCAGCCACACUGGAACUGAGACACGGUCCAGACUCCUACGGGAGGCAGCAGUGGGGAAUAUUGCACAAUGGGCGCAAGCCUGAUGCAGCCAUGCCGCGUGUAUGAAGAAGGCCUUCGGGUUGUAAAGUACUUUCAGCGGGGAGGAAGGGAGUAAAGUUAAUACCUUUGCUCAUUGACGUUACCCGCAGAAGAAGCACCGGCUAACUCCGUGCCAGCAGCCGCGGUAAUACGGAGGGUGCAAGCGUUAAUCGGAAUUACUGGGCGUAAAGCGCACGCAGGCGGUUUGUUAAGUCAGAUGUGAAAUCCCCGGGCUCAACCUGGGAACUGCAUCUGAUACUGGCAAGCUUGAGUCUCGUAGAGGGGGGUAGAAUUCCAGGUGUAGCGGUGAAAUGCGUAGAGAUCUGGAGGAAUACCGGUGGCGAAGGCGGCCCCCUGGACGAAGACUGACGCUCAGGUGCGAAAGCGUGGGGAGCAAACAGGAUUAG
rnacentral:rRNA from 1 species